rnacentral:lncRNA from 1 species
CGUGGGAAAGUGAAGUAAGUAAAUCAAUUUUUUUAUUUUUUGUAGGCCUACAUGAAGUGUGAAGGAUAUCUGUUCUCUUCUAAUUGACGUGAAGUUCGCGGUGCCUCAUUUCUUCUCAAGUCUUCCAAGUGAUAUCCUAGGUGGUCUACAGCUGUAUGAAUUUAAGGGAGAACAGCACAGUGUUUGGAAAAGUUGGCCUUUCCCUAAAGGUUUGCUACAUCAUGGAAAAUGGAAGAUUUUUUUCCUUCAGUCCAUGGAGAAGAACGGCAGCACCAUGCCCUUCAGCUACAACUCCCAUGAGGCACUUUUCUGGAUGGGAGUGAGAGGACACUGCACGAAGCUAGCAGGAGCAAGGCUUAAAAUUGCCAGAAGGAGGUGGUUCCGGGGGAUCAGGUGGUUAAGCGGUGUGGUGGCACCCCUAGAAUUCAGUGGGUAUACCUGAUGUCUCUUGGCCUGACACGCGGCAAGUGGCACCUGUCCAUCAAAGAACAUUCAAGAACAUGCCAGAAUCAUCCUGGACCUGCCAGAGCCACCAGGUAAUAGUAUGACCACACCCUCAUUUCGAUCACAGCUAUAAGUAACCCGCCGUGGGCUUCCGAACCUCGAGAUCGCCUCAUCGGAUGCAGCCGGUCUGAUGAAGUCACGGACGCUGCCCGAGGAAUUCCCGCUGGGAUUUAAAUCUCCGCAUGGUUGUGUGAGUGUUUGGUGCACCUACUGGGCGGUUAUUGUCCAGGCUACAGAAGCAAAGCUUCUUUGUUAAAGGGGACUGUGAGCGUCCAAACCACGGGAGGGAUAGCUUCCUCACUCCGUACUGCUUUUUCCUUUUGAGAGUAGCUACUUUAUCCUUCUUUUGUCAGUUAUUUUGUUUCUCUUCCUUUCUUUGUGCCCUAGCAUAUAAAUAUAUGUAAACAGUUGAUAUAUGUAAAUAGUAUGAUAAAUGUGCUUGCUAAUUAAUUACUUUAUUUAUUAGCAAAUCCAUUCAUUAAUACUAGGAAUGCCUAUACUGACAUCCGAAUCUGUUACCCAUUACGGUUCAAUAAACUGUUUAAUGAUGCCUUUAAA